GGGAAAAAACCCCAUCCAAAUCCACAUCCACAUCGUGUGGCCCGACCCCAAAGGUCCUCCCAACCACCGACCGCCGCUCUCCUCUCCUCUGCCCCGACCACGCCGGCGCCCCAACUCCGGCGGCCCCCUCUCCUUCUUCUUCUUCUUCUUCUUCUGGAUUUCUUCAUCUGACCCUCCCCUGCGGUUGGCUUCUGCAGGCCAUCACAAAUUCGCCAUGGCACCCAGCCCCAGAUCUGACAGACAAGGGUCUAGGUGCGGCCGGAUCCAAGACCAAGCACCCCUGCGGUUGAUUUCGAUCUGCUCUGCAGGCCAUCACAAUGGAAGGAGGAGCACCAUGGCGGGCGUGCAGGCCAUCGCCUAGGCGGGACCCACGGCCAGAUGCAGGGCGGCUCCAAACCAUAACUCCCUCUUCUUUGAUGGCCGGGGAGGACGACGGGGAGGGGGGUCAGGAGGAGCCAGCGCCAUAAUGGAGGGCCCUCUUCUUUGAUGGGCAUUCCGUUCCAGCUCCAAUCCCAGCAGGUCAAAGUGCAAGGUUGCCGUGCUUGUGGUCUGCUCACCUUCACUUCAGCCGCAGCAUCCGCUUCCCCAGCUGCUCCUCUUCCGCUCCGCUCCAUGUGUUUAUCCUGCCAAGGAGCGCGGACGGACGCGCGCUCGGGGUGGCUGCUGUUGCGCCCAGCAGCAGAGGACGCUAGCUAGUCUCCGUGCGCCGGCAACGGCAACGACUUCUUGCACGUAAGGAAAUUCUUUUUAUUGGCUCUGUAGGGAUGGGUCCUCGUGUUAUCCCAUCAACAAAGGAGAGGAACAGGGUUUAUCAUGAUUAUCCCACCGCUCUCCUGCUGCUCCGACCCUAGUGCCGGCCGACGCCAUCGAAGGACAGCAGGCUGAUGUUUGCAAUCAUGGUGUGAAUGGCCACCUGUCGCUUGCAACAGCAAACAACAGCUAGAGUGUAAUUAGUACGUGAUUGGUGACGUAUCUGCACUUGCGAUGAACUCCUUUCGAUUCGUGGAUGGGGACAGAGUCACCACAGCGAUUCUUCUUCCACUCCGCGCCCUGCCCCUCUUGUCUUCUUCCACUCCGGCAUAGCUAGCUGGUUCAUUACCGAGCCACGCCACCGUGCGGUGAUUCUUCUUCCACUUAGACGUCUCCCCUUCCUGUUGCUCUUUUUCCGUUCCGGCAUAUCAUAGCUCCACUAUACUAGUCGCCGUCGCCGUCGCCGCUGCCUGCCAGUCCGAUUUGAGUCGUCUCCGGAGCUCUGCUGGGUUCCUCAUUUGAACAAGGGUCUCUUUCGAUGCUUAUUCUUUUCCAGCCAAUUCUUUUCAACAAGGGUCUCUUUCGAUGUGAUCUCCCUGCUGGAUGUUUGGCUGUGUCUCCUUGAGAAACUUGGUUAUGCAACAAUUUGGUUGCAAGUUAAUUGUAAUAUAUGCUGUUUUGUUUUCCAAUCUUGCAUCAAGUUGUUAUUUUGGGUCAUAUGGAUGUUGAACAGCUCGAAUCCUGCAACUGUUGUGUACUUGGUUUCAAAUUAUAGGUUCUGUGAGCAAAAUAGAAUCUAGUGGAAUAUUGAAUAUAUCUGCAAAAUGAAGGC
rnacentral:rRNA from 1 species